GACAUAGGUGGCGAACGUUAUUCGGAAUUAUUGGGCGUAAAGCGUGCGUAGGCGGUUUUAUAAGUCAGAAGUGAAAGCCUGGGGCUCAACCUCAGAAUUGCUUUUGAUACUGUAAGACUAGAGUGUGUGAGGGGAUGGCGGAAUUCCUAGUGUAGAAGUGAAAUUCGUAGAUAUUAGGAGGAACACCGGUGGCGAAGGCGGCCAUCUGGCAUACAACUGACGCUGUUGCACGAAAGCGUGGGGAGCAAACAGG
rnacentral:rRNA from 1 species